AUAUUUAUUUUAUAAGGUAGUGUUAAGGGCGAAUUCAAAAAAACUUGGGCGAAUCGAAAUACAACACUGUACAGUAUUUGUUUUUGUUUAGGCGAAUUCUGGUGUAGGCACAAUGUCAAAAACAGCUGAUUUAUAAUAUGAGGCGAAUUUGUAAAAAUUAAAAAAAAAAGUUGUUUGUAAAUAAAAGAUUUUUUGAAAUAUAAUAAAAUUGUUAAAAUUCUUCGAACACUCUUCGGUCUAGACAAGAAAAUGCUAAAAUAACGUUUGUCGGCUGAUCAGUGGAAGGCUUGUUUGCAGCAGAAGGACACAAAGGCUCAACAAUUAUUUAUGGAUAUAAUUAUUUUAAAUAAUUGCCUUUUCAAGUUUUUAGUGAAAUCUUAAACUACAUAGAACUAAAACAGAAUGGAAUAUAUAUCGUCAGUAUAUUA